AUUGAACGCUGGCGGCAGGCUUAACACAUGCAAGUCGAGCGGGGGAAGGUAGCUUGCUACCGGACCUAGCGGCGGACGGGUGAGUAAUGCUUAGGAAUCUGCCUAUUAGUGGGGGACAACAUCUCGAAAGGGAUGCUAAUACCGCAUACGUCCUACGGGAGAAAGCAGGGGAUCUUCGGACCUUGCGCUAAUAGAUGAGCCUAAGGCGGAUUAGCUAGUUUGUGGGGUAAAGGCCUACCAAGGCGACGAUCUGUAGCGGGGCUGAGAGGAUGAUCCGCCACACUGGGACUGAGACACGGCCCAGACUCCUACGGGGGGCAGCAGUGGGGAAUAUUGGACAAUGGGGGGAACCCUGAUCCAGCCAUGCCGCGUGUGUGAAGAAGGCCUUAUGGUUGUAAAGCACUUUAAGCGAGGAGGAGGCUACUCUAGUUAAUACCUAGGGAUAGUGGACGUUACUCGCAGAAUAAGCACCGGCUAACUCUGUGCCAGCCGCCGCCGUAA
rnacentral:rRNA from 1 species